AGCAGCCGCGGUAAUUCCAGCUCCAAUAGCGUAUAUUAAAGUUGUUGCAGUUAAAAAGCUCGUAGUUGAAUUUCGGGAUCAAUAUAUCGGUCGUGCCUCCGGUAUGCACUGGUAUUAUUGAUUUCUACCUUCUGACGAACUGUGAUGUCAUUAAUUUGGUGUCAUGGGGAAUCAGGACUGUUACUUUGAAAAAAUUAGAGUGUUUAAAGCAGGCACACGCUUGAAUACAUUAGCAUGGAAUAAUGAAAUAGGACGUUUGACCCUAUUUUGUUGGUUUCUAGGAUCGACGUAAUGAUUAAUAGGGAUAGUUGGGGGCAUUAGUAUUCAAUUGUCAGAGGUGAAAUUCUUGGAUUUAUUGAAGACUAACUACUGCGAAAGCAUUUGCCAAGGAUGUUUUCAUUAAUCAAGAACGAAAGUUAGGGGAUCGAAGACGAUCAGAUACCGUCGUAGUCUUAACCAUAAACUAUGCCGACUAGGGAUCGGAUGAUGUUAAUUUUUUAAUGACUCU
rnacentral:rRNA from 1 species